rnacentral:lncRNA from 1 species
GAUUGUCUGUGUAUUUACUUAUGGUUUUUUGUAUAAAUAUAAAGUAUAUAUUAUUAAAAUUUUAAUUAAAUAUGAAGGUAUAUGUUUUGAUGCAUAUUAUAUAUACAUUAAAUAUUUCAUUUCCAUUAGGGGUUGGAAACAUCUAUGGCACAAAAACAUCUACAUAUAUAGUAGGGACAUACCUAGAAAUUGAGAUAUUUAUAAACCAGUGCUGGAGUCCUGAAUCGUGUCUUUUUUAAUGUCCCUGGGCCGAAUAUUGAUAACUUGAACUUUACUCAGAAAAUAUGGACUCCACUUCACUUUUGUUAUACACGGUAUGGUUCAGGAAACAUAAACAAAAAGCAAAGAAAUAUUUAGUGAAAAAGUUACUGUUACAGACAUCUUGAACGACUCAUAAUAGAAGUCAAAUGUGAAGCAUUUGAAUCACGUCUAAGGAAGUGUUUCUCUCUACGAUUAAUCUAUCACUCACAAGUCAACAUGAUACCAACACGAGGCGGAAAAAUUAUUUCUUCCCUUGACUCCAAGAAAGCCUUAGAACCGAUGGGAUACCAUCGAAUUUUUCAGGCAUUAAUCCUUGGCAGAUCUUCUUCUUGCAUUAUUCUGAUAUACCAGCUUACUCCUUUUCCACAGCUGCCUUUAGUCAAGAGUGUUGCAGUCUGAGGAGGACACAUUGACCAUGUCCAGAAAUUCGUCUAGUUCUCUAAACACCACUUUUGACGUGUUGUUUUUUGGCCAGGCUUCUUCUCAGGGCUCUUGUUGUCCCCUUUGAGUUUUUUAAUUUUGAUAAUGAUAGGCUUGGGUGCAGGGAACGAUUCAGGAGAUCUCGUCAUAACUCAUUCCCGCGUCAGGACAUGCUCACACAUGAUUUCUUUUGGUCUGCAUCUCAAUGUGCCUUUAGUCACCCGUCUAGAAUUAAACACCACUCAUUAUCCUCAUCUCAUAUCAAGAGCAUGGAUAUUCAUCUAAAAAAAUCUAGUUAAUGAUGAAUACAUCAAUUC